CGAAUCUAAAUCAGAGAUUGAAACAGGGAGAGCACAGAGUGAUUCAGAUCAGAGGAGUUGUUGUUUUUUAAGCACAGAAACAGAUACAAGGGGAACUUGGGGGCCCGUGCACAACCCUAGUAUGCAUACCCCCAUGGACAUGUUUGUGUCUCUGUGUGUGUUGUAUUUCAGAAUCUGUGGCACAUACACUGGGCAUUUCAUUUAGCUGGUAUUUGCUGCGUGCUAUUAGUUGGGUUCAACUGAGGGCAUCUCAAGGGAUAAUCAGACAAUCUGUUGUACUCGCAAAUGUCCCAAUCUUUCCAAUCAACCAGGGAGACUUGUAAGAACAUUGCAGUUGGGACAGAAGGCGCUGAUGCUAGGGAUUGUUUGGGAAAUAUCCAAAGCAGCCUACGACAAUUUGAUUUGAUUUGCAGUUGGUCCAGGACAGACACAAAGGAAACCCUUCUCCACAUGUUGUUAAGCAAUUCGAGAGACCCAUACUCACAGGCAUCAGGGUAGAUAAUUAAGAUUAAUAGAGGAUAUUAACAGACAAUAAGCAUAUCCAUAACUACUGGGUGAUUGCAAUGGCAAGGAGAGGAAGUUCUGUUCCAAAAGUGGAAGUUCACCUAUUGGUUCCAGCCUAAGCUUUUGCUUCCUAGUGAUCUGGAAGGGUUUGGCAGGAGAGAGAGUGGACACACCUAUGCAGGUGUUAUUGUUGCUUCAAACCAACCAACUAUGACUGUAGGUUUGCUUAGAUCUAGUGCAGAAGAUAUGUGAAAUAAUUAGCAUAUCCCACCUUUUGGACACAGGUUUGGCAUUGCAGAGGUGAAACGGGCCCUAGCAGAAAAUGGACUCUUGCUCAAGACACCUUGCUGACAUAUUAAAAACCAUUUCGUUAUCAUGUACAAAUGUUCAUAAGUAAAGAGAAGCUUAGAGAA